rnacentral:rRNA from 1 species
UACGGGGGGGGCAAGCGUUGUUCGGAAUUACUGGGCGUAAAGGGCGCGUAGGCGGCCUGCUAAGUCACACGUGAAAUCCCCGGGCUCAACCCGGGAACUGCGUCCGAGACUGGCAUGCUUGAAUCCGGGAGAGGGAUGUGGAAUUCCAGGUGUAGCGGUGAAAUGCGUAGAUAUCUGGAGGAACAUCGGUGGCGAAGGCGGCAUCCUGGACCGGUAUUGACGCUGAGGCGCGAAAGCCAGGGGAGCAAACGGG